GCCAAAUGAUGUUUAAAUAACCUUGGUGAGCACUCUGUGCAAAGAUGACACCGAUCUAUCACCCAAGACUGAUGGCU